rnacentral:rRNA from 1 species
UACGAAGGGGGCUAGCUUUGUUCGGAAUUACUGGGCGUAAAGCGCACGUAGGCGGACUUGUAAGUUGGGGGUGAAAUCCCGGGGCUCAACCCCGGAAUUGCCUUCAAGACUGCAAGUCUGGAGGUCAGGAGAGGCGAGCGGAAUUCCGAGUGUAGAGGUGAAAUUCGUAGAGAUUCGGAGGAACACAAGUGGCGAAGGCGGCUCGCUGGACUGAUACUGACGAUGAGGUGCGAAAGCGUGGGGAGCAAACAGG